ACGUAGGGGGCAAGCGUUGUCCGGAAUCAUUGGGCGUAAAGCGCGUGUAGGCGGCUUGAUAAGUCCGGUGUGAAACCUUGGGGCUCAACCCCAAGCCUGCAUCGGAUACUGUCUCGCUCGAGUUCGGGAGGGGAGAGCGGAAUUCCUAGUGUAGCGGUGAAAUGCGCAGAUAUUAGGAAGAACACCAGUGGCGAAGGCGGCUCUCUGGAACGAUACUGACGCUGAGACGCGAAAGCGUGGGGAGCGAACAGGAUUAGAUACCCUGGUAGUCCACGCCGUAAACGAUGGGCACUAGAUGUGGGCGGUGUCGACUCCGCCCGUGUCGCAGCUAACGCACUAAGUGCCCCGCCUGGGGAGUACGGCCGCAAGGCUA
rnacentral:rRNA from 1 species